rnacentral:rRNA from 1 species
CGCGCAAAUUACCCAAUCCUAAUUCAGGGAGGUAGUGACAAUAAAUAACGAUACAGGGCCCAUUCGGGUCUUGUAAUUGGAAUGAGUACAAUGUAAAUAC